AUAUUUAAGAGUUUUCUAAAGAGUUCUAUGCAGUAGAACCGAUAAAUAAUUUUUAAAAAAUUAAUACAGCCCGAGAACUGUCUUUAAGGCAGAUAGGUAUGAUUUGCUGUCCGAAAUGACGGAGUUCUGGC